CUCUCAUCACGUUUACUCUCCUCAUAUUAACUCUCUUUUACUGAAAUUCAGUCGACUCAAAUUCAAUAGCAAUUUCUGAAAGUUUGGGGUACAAUUUUCAUUGUAAGGCUAUAAUAUCGAAUUAUUAAAAACAAACAGGAAUGGACAGCUCAAAUGAUAGUAGAUUAUUUAUUAACCCAGGACCACGUGAUCCUUCAUUGUUAUAUCUCCAAGCAUCUCAUAGGUCCCAAGUCGUGUGGGAUGAUCCACAAGAGGCCGGUGUAAUCACAUGCCGACGAUCAUCUACUGUAUUACACGGUCAUGAUAUUGAUGACAGGCUUAUCCCUUAUCUCCGUGCUAGUGGAUUUUAUGGAGCUGUUCGAUUAGGGUUCUUCCAUUUAGAUCACCACCUCAUAACAGCUUUGGUUGAGAGAUGGAGACCAGAAACACAUACUUUCAUGUUACCCCAUGGGGAGUGUACAGUUA